UUUUUUGAGUCCUGUUGAAAUCAAGUUUGGAAAGAAAAAAAAAAAAAGAUGUUUCAGGCAAGUUAAUAAUCCCCAGUGAAAACUAUUCACCUGAAACACUUCCCUGCAGUUGAUUUGCUUUAACUUGGACCCUGGUUUCUAUUUGUAUUUCUGGUUUUCAGCUCGAUUAGGUGACCUGUAGUUGCUAGAAUUUGUGGUUUAUUAAAUUAAGUCUCUGUACAACGUUCCACUGCAGCUGGGCCUCCUGUCCCACCCCCUGCAGCAGUAACAAGCACUUCAAGUAUGCAAAGGCUCCAGACAUGGAAAAAUGGAGCUGGGGACUCUUGCCCAGAGGAAAUCUAUAGCUCAGUUAAUGACUCCAGUAGCAGAAAGAAGACAGAUUCUUACAGGGUUCCUGACGUCAGGCAGAGUGCUCCAGAGAGGAAAGACAAUGGGAAAGAGGAAAAGUGAAGCAUGGGAGCAUUCUCCAGGGAGCUGCUUCUUCAAGGCUUCUGAAAAAUGACUUGGACGUGCUGCCAGACUUUAAUCCCUGAUCAUUUGGUGGGGAUUCAAAAGCAAAUGGCAAAGUGCUGACACGUACAAGGAAACAACUACAAUGUCCUCUGUGCUGUUCCUGUGUAGCCAAGAGGAACACGGAAACCUUCGUGUGUAAUAGUGUGGAAACAAGCACAACACAGAGCACAGGCUAGAUUAUGUGCAAACUAAAACUGAC